CACGUAGUUAGCCGGGGCUUCUUAGUCAGGUACCGUCAUUAUCUUUCCUGCUGAUAGAGCUUUACAUACCGAGAUACUUCUUCACUCACGCGGCGUCGCUGCAUCAGGGUUUCCCCCAUUGUGCAAUAUUCCCCACUGCUGCCUCCCGUAGGAGUCUGGGCCGUGUCUCAGUCCCAAUGUGGCCGUUCACCCCCUCAGGCCGGCUACUGAUCGUCGCUUUGGUGGGCCGUUACCCCCGCCAACUGGCUAAUCAGACGCGGAUCCAUCGUAUACCACCGGAGUUUUUCACACCGCUCCAUGCGGAGCUGUGCGCUCAUGCGGUAUUAGCACCUAUUUCUAAGUGUUAUCCCCCGGUAUACGGCAGGUUAUCCACGCGUUACUCACCCGUCCGCCACUAACCUGUAUAUCACUAGGUUUCAAUACAGAUCCGUUCGACUUGCAUGUGUUAGGCACGCCGCCAGCGUUCAUCCUGAGCCAGGAUCAAACUCU
rnacentral:rRNA from 1 species